rnacentral:rRNA from 1 species
GCAUAUCAAUAAGCGGAGGAAAAGAAACCAACCGGGAUUGCCUCAGUAACGGCGAGUGAAGCGGCAAGAGCUCAAAUUUGAAAGCUGGCCCUUUCGGGGUCCGCGUUGUAAUUUGCAGAGGAUGCUUCGGGUGCGGCCCCUGUCUAAGUGCCCUGGAACGGGCCGUCAGAGAGGGUGAGAAUCCCGUCUUGGGCAGGGUGCCCGUGCCCGUGUGAAGCUCCUUCGACGAGUCGAGUUGUUUGGGAAUGCAGCUCUAAAUGGGUGGUAAAUUUCAUCUAAAGCUAAAUACCGGCCGGAGACCGAUAGCGCACAAGUAGAGUGAUCGAAAGAUGAAAAGCACUUUGAAAAGAGAGUUAAACAGCACGUGAAAUUGUUGAAAGGGAAGCGCUUGCGACCAGACUCGGCCCCGGGGUUCAGCCAGCACUCGUGCUGGUGUACUUCCCCGGGGGCGGGCCAGCGUCGGUUUGGGCGGCCGGUCAAAGGCCCCAGGAAUGUAUCGCCCUCCGGGGUUGUCUUAUAGCCUGGGGUGCAAUGCGGCCAGCCCGGACCGAGGAACGCGCUUCGGCACGGACGCUGGCGUAAUGGUCGCAAACGACCCGUCUUGAAACACGGACCAAGGAGUCUAACAUCUACGCGAGUGUUCGGGUGUCAAACCCGUACGCGCAGUGAAAGCGAACGGAGGUGGGAGCCCCCCCGGGGCGCACCAUCGACCGAUCCUGAUGUCUUCGGAUGGAUUUGAGUAAGAGCGUAGCUGUGGGGACCCGAAAGAUGGUGAACUAUGCCUGAAUAGGGCGAAGCCAGAGGAAACUCUGGUGGAGGCUCGCAGCGGUUCUGACGUGCAAAUCGAUCGUCAAAUUUGGGUAUAGGGGCGAAAGACUAAUCGAACCAUCUGGUAGCUGGUUCCUGCCGAA